UUUCGGAAAUAAUUUCUCUGGCCACAGAGCGAAUGGGCGAAAAUGCUUUCACUUUCGAAGGUUCCAUCAAUUGGUCGAAAAUGUCUCUCAGCCGAGUAGUUGCCCCAGCUAACGAUGUGGACGGGAUAGUUUUUGCUCCUGCUCCUUAACUAAUUCCCAGACAAGGUGGGUAUAUAUGUAUAUGUAUGUGUGUGUGUGUGUGUGUGCUUGUGUGUGUGUUUGUGUGUGUGUCGCAUCCGUAGCACAGUCUAACCUCUUUGCCCACACUCUGGCAUCACAUCGAUCAAAGCGAGCAAUUCCCAGCGUAAAUGACAUUAAACCUCCCCCCGCUCACCCCCUUACCCAUCACGAUUGCGGCAUAUAAACUGCCAAGGCAGUUUGCCAGCGUUUGGGGGCUGGGGUUCUGUUCGCUCAACGGAUAUUCUGUGAGAGCAUUAGAGGGUCUCUGAUUGUGCCACGCCCACUUUACCAGCAUAAUGCAUAACUAAUUUUCGCAGUAGAAUCAACAAUGGGUUUGCUGGCUGCAUCUACUGAAAUAUUGAAACAUGAAAAUUGUCAAAAACAGCGACAAGAGCACAAAACCCAACGAGAGAGAGAGAGAGAGAGAGAGAGAGUGAGAGUGAGACAGGCAGGGAGAGGGGGGAGAAUGGGAUGUCAUGAGCAUUACCUGUCAGGCCUGUGCGGAAAUGAAAUUUUGCAAUGAUAUCAAAGAGGUGGGACAAAGUUGGUGUGGAGGCGGGGGCGUGGCAUGAGCUAUGCAUGCAUAUUUCCUCCUGACUGACAAUUUUGACAAUGUUGACAAUUUUUGUUAUGCAAUAAAAAUUAUGUGUGUGGGUGGUGCGUGAUACGUGGCUCAGCCGUGUGUUAUACAAACUGUUAUAUUGCGGCUUUGCUAAUUGUUGAAUUCAUUUGAGUGCACUUUACACUGGCAAUGGAAAUGGGGAGCCCAAGCGCCACUUUUGAUCUCGUUUCCUUCGAUAGGCGAUUAAUUAAUUUUGAUAAUCGGCAGCGAAUAGAGUGGAAUGCAAAGGGAAUAGCUAUGAUGACUAAAAGCACGCAAAUGGAAUUGCUUCCGAGAGCUGGGCACACUGAAAGCACUGAAUGUGCCCCGAUAAAUGCUCGAUACCUCAACAUUGACGACGGCCACACAGUUAUCUGCCGUAGAAGUAGAAAUUCAUUAGCGUCACGUUCCAGCCGUUUGCACCUGCACAUAUACACACAUACACUUGUGUGGCUGUGCUGCUGACCAGACACUUCAGGCGGGGAGGGGCAGCACUCACGAAAAUCCACUAAAGCAAUUCAAUUCAAUUACAAAACGCUCGCCCCAGCCACCCCGGCCACCCCGGCCGCCUCAGUCCGCCCUUGGCCUGUCAAUUAGCGGGCUGUCUAAGCUGAUACGCAUUUUAUGUAGCAUACCUGUGUGCGGGACGCAAAAAUGUUGGCCUUUAAUCAACGCCAAGUUGAGCAGGCCGACGACUUAGCGGCUGAUUGGAUUGCGGCUGCCGCAGCUCACGGGGGGGUGGAGGCUGCUAAGAAGCCCAUGAUAGCAGGAGCUUUAAAAAGGCGGCCGAAGCGGGGUGAGCUGCGUUUUUAUAAUUAGACGCAGCCAAGGCAACAACAAAUUAAAUCAACGACAGCGGGAUUCGGGGCGAGGGGAAGUCAGUUAUUUCCGCUGAACACGAUUUCUGCCCGACCCUCGAUGCGAUGCGAUGCGAUGCGGUAAUUAAAACGACAUUAUUCAAUAUUACAAAUGCGAAAACAGCCAAAGCAAAAAGGAUUUUGAAAGGUAAAAAAAAGGAAUGGGUCGGGCAGGAGACGGCGCGUCGGCUUCAACAGGCGUUUAUUACUCCUCGGACGAAAGCGGACUAUCUAGAUGGGGCCAAGAAAUGGAUAGAAGAGCCAGCGGUAAUGGGAACGGGUUCGGGUUCGGGCUCGUAAAACCCUUUUCCUGCCCACGUUUCCUGCCCUUGGUCCUCAACCUUUGUGGCAAGGUCCGAAACAACGAAUCGACGCUAGGCAAAUCACAAAAAACAUGAUGGAAAAAAGUGCUCGCUGCAGUGCAGUGCAGACGGCGACUGCGACUGCGACUGCGACUGCGACUAUUUUUAAUCACUUCAACAGUUUUAUUGUCUGCUGCCAACGAGCGAGCAAACGCACUCACAAAUUUAAUAGAUUGCCGAGCGGGCGGGCAGCGGGCAGCGGGCAGCGGUUCGUCUGCCAUGGAAGGCGGCUAGCAGCAGAGCAAACAAAAACGCAUGAGCUAAAAUGUAAACAUAAGCACAAAAAGAGAAGGAAAGGCAAGGGGGAGUGAAAAAAAAAACAAGCCGUCAAAGUAGAAAGAGCCGGAAUUUAAAUGCGGGCAACAAGGGGUUAACUCUGCGAGUCAGCCAACGCCUAUUCACAGCAGCAAUGAAUGACUCGUCAGCGCCUGGGGGUAUGCAAUGGAUUUAUGAAGAUAUUCCCCCUCCUGCUGCUGCUGCCGCUGCUGCCACUGCGGCAAAUGAUUUUGUCGAUAAGCAUGAAAGACGCCAAGCCGGUAAAUCUAGCAGCAAUCUGCCCCACGCCCAGCCCGACAGAUGCAUAUCAAUGAAGCCCACGUGGGGGUCUAGCAAAUGCCAUUGCAUGCCACCGUGCCACUCAGCCGCCCUCGGAAGUUUCAGGACAUUCUUGCGCUGGCGUGCGUCAUCGUCCUCGAGCCCAACCUGACACGAAUCUGCACGAUACGGCUGCGUGCCUUCAAGUGUUACACAUUUGCAUUUUGGCUACAAGCACAUACAACACAGCAACAAAGCACACAACAGAGAAGGGAGAACGGAGAAUGGAGAAUGGAGAACAGGGAACUGAGAACUGAGAACUUAGAGCCUGCCAGAGCCGUCAUAGUUGGCGCAAAAAGUAGUUUGCCCUUUAGUUAUGAAAAUUGCGAGUUGCUUUUGUUUUGCGAGCCAUUUUUAGACGCUUAUAAUUGCUCCAUUAAAAUUUGUUUAUGGCCAAAGUUUAUACUUGACAAGCAGGUCGUGUUGAGCUCCGCUGCCAGCCCAGUAAUUAGAACGUCACAACUUUUUCUCCUGCUGUAACUGGGCGCUAUUUUCGGACUCCCUAGAGGAUUAUUUUAGCGAGCACGCUCUCUGCUGCUCUGUCACGAUAUGGAAGCAAGUUAGCUACUUCAAAACUGGAUUGUUUCUCAUUACGAUUUUCCCAUGAACUGAACGUUAUCCGAGCAGUUAGCAAGAAAUCCAAAGUUCUUCAAAAAGUCAAUCUCUGCGUAUCGUAUUUAUAAAAUAAAUGACAUUAAACCCAAUUAAUGGCCCAAUCCAAUUCAUUUCAUUUCAUUUCUAAUCUAUAUAUAUACAAGUAAAGAAAUUGUCCUAAUGUAUUUCAGGGGAUAUCUCUCUUAUAUUUGCAGUAGCUACAGUUUUUCUUGCCAUCAGCAGGGAGCAGAGAGUCAGGUGGACAGUGUCAUUAGCCCACACACACACACACACACACACACACACACACACACAGAGUGACUCUUCCACAUCUUCGCACUUUGUAAUUGGCAAUGAUUGAAAGCUCCUGCCCGGAAGCCAUAGCAUUGCGCAUCGCAUCAUUUGUUAGAUGACACAUGCAAAAAGUUGUUACCUUCCAUCAAUUACCAGAAGGUUAGACAAGGUCGGGCGUCGUCCUGAUGGGGCUUUUACUUUUAAUCUCUGCUCUUGGGGUGCGCUGGAUCUAGCUAACUCUUUCGUUCGGGAAAUUUAAUAUCAUCGCACCCAGAGUUUCUAUUGGCGUUACACUAAAAGGUUUUCACGACGCUUUUAAUUACACGUUAAACAAAAGCAGCGCACACUCACACGCACACACCCAUAACACAGACUGAGACCCGCCCAUCAAGGCCAACCAAUUUUUGUUGCUGCCCCGGUUCGGUUCGGUUCGGUUCGGUUCGGUUUGCAAAUUGCGAGAGUUUGCGAUUUGCGCUUGAUUAAAUUCUAAUUAUAAAGCGUGCGUAUUUCCAGUAGCCGCUUCGCCUCGCUCUGCCCCGCCCCCAUUUUCUCCAUUCACCAUUUCCACUGAUUUUUACGACUUUUUAAUGAUUUUGACUGCCAGUCACUCAUUUCGCCACGUUCCUUGUUGCCGCUGCCGUUGCCGUUGCCGUUGCUGUGGGUAGCUCGCUUCCAAUAGCAGCUAUGCGUGUUAGGUCUUCUUCUUGCUCCUCCUCCUCCUGUUAAUGCUGCUCCUCUGUUUUAGCUUUCCCUUUCGCCAACAGUUUUCCAAUUUUCUUUGGCAUUUCGUUUACGUUUCGAUAAUUCUCGGGUCCUUAUUGGGUUGCUUGGCUGUUGUUGGCCUUGCGUGCAAUUUGCACUGCCUCCAGCGCCUCGACUCCUGCCCCCACCAAGCGCCACUCGCCACCCGCCACCCGCCACCCGCUGCCUGCCGCGUUGCCGCGCCCACUUUGUUUAAUGCGACUUUUAACGCUGAUUAAUGUUUCCUCGUACUGGCUGUCCCUUUACCUUUGCCUUUUGGUUUCGGCUUCGGUUCUGGUUUCCAUUUGGCAUUCUUUUUACUGCGCUUUCACGGCUUGCAUGUCAAAUGGUUCUCUUUUUUCGCAUUAUUUUUUGAUAUUGCGAGAUUUACGAGAAUCGUUUCGAGCGGUGCGUUUAUUAAAUUCAUUAAAAAUAUCCAUUUCGACCGCAGCGAGGCCAACAAAACCAAUAACAGUGACAACAACAACAAAAACAACAACAGCAACAACAAGCUGCGACAUUUAAACAUUUGCCAACUGGCAAGUUAUUUGCUGGCUGUCACAUGUCAAUAAAAUUAACACUUGAAUGGCAAAGCCAACAACGGACAGACAGGCGGACAAGUGGACGGACGGACGGACGGACGGACGGGCAGAUGGACAUAUGAACAGACAGCGUAGAAAUAAUAUAUACAUUUGUCUGUGUGUGUGUGUGUGUGUCUACUUUUUUUAAAUUAAAACAACAACAAUCAAAAGGCCUAAAGGACAACGAGCUAAGCUGCCUGCAAUAAUUUGCUCGACAGCUGCAAAUGCAAAUUUCAGCAUGAACUAAAUUGAAAUUUAUACAGAAAUCUAUGUGGACAUGGCAUGCUGACCGAAUGCUCUCUCUCCCUCUCUCUGUCCCUCUCUCUCUGUCUCUCUCUCUCCCUCAUACUUUGCUGGCUGCUGAAAUGGAAAUUACAUUAAGUGCUCGCUGCAGUCGAGGCGACCCGAACAACAGCCACAACAUUUGCUGCUGUUAUUGGGACAAUUUUCACUAAAAUCAAAGCGAAUUACACUCAAUUGCAAUCAUUUCAUAUUUCCGGACCGCUAACUGCUCUGGCGCCUGAAAUGCUGCCGUUCUUGGCUGCUGCAGCUUCAGCAACAAUAAAUGAAUUUUCCAAGGGAGCCAAAUUGGAAAAUGGAAUAGAUUUUUGAUGUUUAUGUUAAUGUUCCCUACUUACAGCACUGCUGGAGACAUUUCGGAAACGAUUCUAUUUAGAUUUAAAAAUGUUUCAA